rnacentral:rRNA from 1 species
AUUGAACGCUGGCGGCAUGCUUUACACAUGCAAGUCGAACGGCAGCGCGGGCUUCGGCCUGGCGGCGAGUGGCGAACGGGUGAGUAAUGCAUCGGAACGUGCCCAGCAGUGGGGGAUAGCACGGCGAAAGCAGGAUUAAUACCGCAUACGACCUGAGGGUGAAAGCGGGGGACCGAAAGGCCUCGCGCUAUUGGAGCGGCCGUUGUCGGAUUAGCUAGUUGGUGGGGUAAAGGCUUACCAAGGCGACGAUCCGUAGCUGGUCUGAGAGGACGACCAGCCACACUGGGCCUGGAACGCGUCCCAGGCUCCUACGGGAGGCAGCGGUGGGGAAUUUUGGACAAUGGGGGCAACCCUGCUCCAGCCACGCCGCGUGCGGGAAGAAGGCCUUCGGGUUGUAAACCGCUUUUGUUCGGGAAGAAAUCCUCUGGGCUAAGAGCCCGGAGGGAGGACGGUACCGGAAGAAUAGGCACCGGCUACCUACGG